rnacentral:rRNA from 1 species
UACGUAGGGUGCGAGCGUUAAUCGGAAUUACUGGGCGUAAAGUGUGCGCAGGCGGCUCCGCAAGUCGAGUGUGAAAUCCCCGAGCUUAACUUGGGAAUUGCGCUCGAAACUACGGAGCUGGAGUGUGGCAGAGGAAGGUGGAAUUCCACGUGUAGCGGUGAAAUGCGUAGAUAUGUGGAGGAACACCAGUGGCGAAGGCGGCUAACUGGUCCAGAUCUGACGCUGAGGUGCGAAAGCGUGGGGAGCAAACAGG